AUGUUAGCUUAUUAUUAUUUCAGAGAUUGCUUCUGUAUGUUUGUUCACAGAAAUGAACAAGAAAUAAGUUUAGGCCUUGGCCAUGUGUGUAACGUUAAAACUAGGCCAGUAGAACACCAGUGUCUAUAUGAAGAGAAGAAGUACAAACUUAUUCCAGGAUCUGAUAUAAACUGGGAGUAGGGGGACACUAAGGAGGUUUUAUGUAUGAGAAUGCAACACUGUGGUCAUCUGGUUCUGGCUCCAAGCUCUUUAUGGGAUCUGGAACAAAGUUAAUUGUGCAGAUCAGUGAGUAUUAUUUUAAAUAGAUUUUAUUAUUGCUUCAUAGCAUGACAUUUUGGCUUGAAACUACUUUUUAAUUUUUUAAUUUUUUUAAUUUUUAUUUAAAGGGUAGUGAAAUGAGUGAUGAUGAUUUUUCAUAUGAUCAUCACUUGUGAUAAUUCAAAGCAUAUAAUUUAAAUGUUUUGUUUUGAGUUUGCACAUAGAAAUAUAGAUCAGUUGAAGGAUAUUGAUAUGGUGUUUAGUGUUGUGUGAAUGACCGGGGAGUCAGUAAGAUAAUCUUUGGCACUGGUACAAAACUUUUAGUGGAAUCAGGUGAGAUUUAUAAUUCUUUAUUGCGUUUAAGUCUUCUGUGAUGCAAGAAAGUUACAUUUAUGUACUACUUUGUUUAUUAUACAGACAAAAAAAUAUUAAUUCACUCAUCAGCUUAUUUACAAACCAGUUAGUUUUUAUUUUCAAAGGAUGAAAAAGAGAGUGGAAUAUUAAAUCUAGUGUCAGUCCUUAAAAAUAGAUAAAGUGUUCUGUUGAGGUGUUUUUGUUAAGCAGUGUAGUGCAGUGUGAAUGCAAUAGGGGUUAACCAGGUCAUAUUUGGCAAUGGUACCAGACUCAUUGUGGAAUCAAGUAAGUUGUUUAUUUGUCGAACUAAAUAUUUUGAUAGGUCACUGAAUUCAGAUGUUAGAUUAAACAUAAAAUUGAUUGCAGGUCCUAUUUAGUGUUACGCUUCUAAAAAUCAGUUUGAGUAAUUGUAAUGAUAAGGUUUAAUCUUAGUAUCUUUUUGUAAAAUCUAAAAAACAAAGUAAUGUUGCAACAACAUUAAAAGAUCCAACUGCAUGGCUGUUGUAUUUGAAAGUGUUUAGUAUUCGGUUACUUUUUACCUUCAUCUAAAUCCAGUUUUAAUCUAUGUGAAAAUUCAACUAAAUGUCAUAUGCCGCUUAAUAGGAAAAUAUAAAUAAUUUAUGUAAUUAUUGAAAUUGAUUUCAAACAUUUCUGUUUUCAAAAUUACUGUACGAGGGGUUUGAGGCAUUAACAGGGAGUUUCUGUAAUGGUGUAUAUCUUUGUGUGACUAGAGGGAAUGACAAGCUUGUUUUGUCAAAUGGCACCAAACACAGGGAGUUUCUGUAAUGGUGUAUAUCUUUGUGUGACUAGAGGGAAUGACAAGCUUGUUUUUGCAAAUGGCACCAAACUAAUUGUGGAAUCAAGUAAGUUUCUGCUCUCUAAUGUUUAAAUCACUAAAAAUAUUUAUCUUAGAAAUGACUUUUAAAUACUAAAUAAGCCGUUUGCAAAAAGUAGUUUAGUAUAAUACAAAUAUUUUGUGUGCAUUUUAAAACAACUUAUUUUUAUCACACUUCUUUAAAAUAUACCUAAACAUGUAAUCAAACAUUUAAUGUUUGUGAUUGUUUACUACAUUUAUCAUAUGAGUACAGCAUUAUUGAUGGCUCCGCUGGGAUUUUUCAGAGGUAGAAUUAAAACAUCAUAUAUAAGUUACAAAUAACAUGCCAAAUUUUCUUGAACAAACAAAUCUAACAGAAUAUUUAUUAAAAAUGCAUAAUAAAAUCUCCUCUGAUAGGUAUAGAUAUGUAGUUUUAGAGAUUGCCUCUAAUGCAUAGGUUUGUGUAUGGAUGUAUAGCCAUGUGUGAAUACUGGCAGUCUUGGAAAGAUAAUCUUUGGUAAAGGAACCAAACUUAUCAUCCAUUCAAGUAAGUUUGGACUUUUAAAAAAAAUUCAGUUAAAAAAUCUUCAGAGUUGUGCGUUUUGUUUUAUUUAAAUUUUUCUUUUUUAUAUUGAGAAAGUUCUGUGACUUUGGUGCUAGAAUUGCUUUAGUAAUUGGGCAAAUGUUGAAGGAUGAAAUAUUAAAA
rnacentral:lncRNA from 1 species